UACGAGGGGGGCAAGCGUUGUUCGGAAUUAUUGGGCGUAAAGGGCGCGUAGGCGGUGCGGUAAGUCACCUGUGAAAACUCUGGGCUCAACUCAGAGCCUGCAGGCGAAACUGCCGUGCUUGAGUGUGGGAGAGGUGCGUGGAAUUCCCGGUGUAGCGGUGAAAUGCGUAGAGAUCGGGAGGAACACCUGUGGCGAAGGCGGCCGACUGGGCCGACCCUGACGCUGAGGCGCGAAGGCGUGGGGAGCGAACGGG
rnacentral:rRNA from 1 species